rnacentral:rRNA from 1 species
GACGAACGCUGGCGGCGUGCUUAACACAUGCAAGUCGAACGGAAAGGCCCUGCUUUUGUGGGGUGCUCGAGUGGCGAACGGGUGAGUAACACGUGAGUAACCUGCGCUUGACUUUGGGAUAACUUCAGGAAACUGGGGCUAAUACCGGAUAGGAGCUCCUGCUGCAUGGUGGGGGUUGGAAAGUUUCGGCGGUUGGGGAUGGACUCGCGGCUUAUCAGCUUGUUGGUGGGGUAGUGGCUUACCAAGGCUUUGACGGGUAGCCGGCCUGAGAGGGUGACCGGCCACAUUGGGACUGAGAUACGGCCCAGACGCCGACGGGAGGCAGGAGUGGGGAAUAUUGCACAAUGGGCGGAAGCCUGAUGCAGCAACGCCGCGUGCGGGAUGACGGCCUUCGGGCUGUAAACCGCUUUCGCCUGUGACGAAGCGUGAGUGACGGUAAUGGGUAAAGAAGCACCGGCGAACUACGU